CUAUUCUUCACACCGGUGAUUUGUGAGAGGGCACUCUCUUGUUGCAGGAUUCUUAAGAAUUUGGUUGUGUUGUGGACAUAUACCUUUAACUGGUAUCCUACUUACAAAUUCCAGAGCAUGGGUCUGCUCUGUGUGUGCUCUGGAUCUUCUCUGUGUGUGCUCUGGUUCUGCUCUGUGUGUGCUCUGGAUCUGCUCUGUGUGUGCUCUGGGUCUGCUCUGUGUGUGCUCUGGAUCUGCUCUGGGU